AUCACCGAGAACUUAAGACUGACA
rnacentral:piRNA from 1 species